UACGAAGGGGGCUAGCGUUGCUCGGAAUUACUGGGCGUAAAGCGCACGUAGGCGGAUUGUUAAGUCGGGGGUGAAAUCCUGGAGCUCAACUCCAGAACUGCCUUUGAUACUGGGAGUCUCGAGUCCGGGAGAGGUGAGUGGAACUGCGAGUGUAGAGGUGAAAUUCGUAGAUAUUCGCAAGAACACCAGUGGCGAAGGCGGCUCACUGGCCCGGUACUGACGCUGAGGUGCGAAAGCGUGGGGAGCAAACAGG
rnacentral:rRNA from 1 species